rnacentral:rRNA from 1 species
UACGUAGGGACCAAGCGUUGUUCGGAUUUACUGGGCGUAAAGGGCGCGUAGGCGGCAUGACAAGUCACUUGUGAAAUCUCCGGGCUUAACUCGGAACGGCCAAGUGAUACUGUCAAGCUAGAGUGCAGAAAGGGCAAUCGGAAUUCUUGGUGUAGCGGUGAAAUGCGCAGAUAUCGGGAGGAACACCGGUGGCGAAGGCGGUUCUCUGGGCCUGUACUGACGCUGAGGAGCGAAAGCGUGGGGAGCGAACAGG